rnacentral:misc_RNA from 1 species
CAAGCUUGCAUAGUCUGAGAUGACUAUAGUGUUUGUGUAAGUAUAUWAAAAAUUAAACUUAACMAUUAGUGAAAACUAGUUGAUGGCAGAGAUAACUUCUAAGUAUUUUGAACAGCUCUUAUAUGAAGUUAUCUCCAUAAAGUGCCACAGAGACGAGCUUUAUAGAAAUAUAAAGUG